GCAGACACAUUCCAGCCAAUCAGCAGCAGACCCUCCCUCCCAGACGCUCCCACCUCCUGGACAGCAUCCAUUUUACAUUCAUUGUGAAGCUGCAUUCUUAGUGAGCUGUACAGGAGGUGGGAGGGUCUGGGAGGGAGGGUCUGCUGCUGAUUGGCUGGAAUGUGUCUG
rnacentral:miRNA from 1 species